UGAUACAUAUCGGACAGAAUUAUGCCGAGCCAGUUUCAUUAGUCGUUUGAUGUUUUCUUGGCUUCACCCUUUACUGCGCUUAGGUUACUCAAAACCAUUAGACCUUGAUGCUGUCCCAGAUUUAACAUCUGAAGAUGAAGCCCUCUUAGCAUACCAAAAUUUUUAUAAUGCAUGGGAUUGUCUUAGGAGAGAUAAGAGUGUAACAAAUACUCACAACUUGGUUAUACGAGCCUUGGCUAAAGUUUAUAUGAAAGAGAUGGUAAUUAUAGGAGUCUAUGCCUUUCUUAGGACAGGCACUGUCGUGUUUCUUCC